GAAAUGCGAUAAGUAAUGUGAAUUGCAGAAUUCAGUGAAUCAUCGAAUCUUUGAACGCAUCUUGCGCUCCUUGGUAUUCCUUGGAGCAUGCCUGUUUGAAUAUCAUGAAAUCUUCAAAGUAAAUCUUUUGUUAACUCAAUUGGUUUCUACUUUGGUAUUGGAGGUCUUUGCAGCUUCACACCUGCUCCUCUUUGUUCAUUAGCUGGAUCUCAGUGUUAUGCUUGGUUCCACUCGGCGUGAUAAGUUAUCUAUCGCUGAGGACACUGUAAAAGGUGGCCAAGGUAAAUGCAGAUGAACCGCUUCUAAUAGUCCAUUGACUUGGACAAUACUUUUAUGAUCUGAUCUCAAAUCAGGUAGGACUACCCGCUGAACUUAAGC
rnacentral:misc_RNA from 1 species